AGCGAACGCUGGCGGCAGGCUUAACACAUGCAAGUCGAGCGCCCCGCAAGGGGAGCGGCAGACGGGUGAGUAACACGUGGGAACGUACCCUUUGGUUCGGAACAACCCAGGGAAAACUUGGGCUAAUACCGGAUACGUCCGUAAGGAGAAAGAUUUAUCGCCAAAGGAUCGGCCCGCGUCUGAUUAGCUAGUUGGUGAGGUAAUGGCUCACCAAGGCUACGAUCAGUAGCUGGUCUGAGAGGAUGAUCAGCCACAUUGGGACUGAGACACGGCCCAAACUCCUACGGGAGGCAGCAGUGGGGAAUAUUGGACAAUGGGGGCAACCCUGAUCCAGCCAUGCCGCGUGAGUGAUGAAGGCCCUAGGGUUGUAAAGCUCUUUUAGCAGGGAAGAUAAUGACGGUACCUGCAGAAAAAGCCCCGGCUAACUUCGUGCCAGCCGCCGCAGUAAAAC
rnacentral:rRNA from 1 species